CACUCCUGCGGGAGGCAGCAGUGGGGAAUAUUGCACAAUGGGCGCAAGCCUGAUGCAGCCAUGCCGCGUGUAUGAAGAAGGCCUUCGGGUUGUAAAGUACUUUCAGCGGGGAGGAAGGCGAUAAGGUUAAUAACCUUGUUGAUUGACGUUACCCGCAGAAGAAGCACCGGCUAACUCCGUGCCAGCAGCCGCGGUAAUACGGAGGGUGCAAGCGUUAAUCGGAAUUACUGGGCGUAAAGCGCACGCAGGCGGUCUGUCAAGUCGGAUGUGAAAUCCCCGGGCUCAACCUGGGAACUGCAUUCGAAACUGGCAGGCUAGAGUCUUGUAGAGGGGGGUAGAAUUCCAGGUGUAGCGGUGAAAUGCGUAGAGAUCUGGAGGAAUACCGGUGGCGAAGGCGGCCCCCUGGACAAAGACUGACGCUCAGGUGCGAAAGCGUGGGGAGCAAACAGGAUUAGAAACCCCUGUAGUCCC
rnacentral:rRNA from 1 species